AGCCUGAACGCUGGCGGCGUGGCUAAGACAUGCAAGUCGUACGGUGUAGCGUAGCAAUACGCUGCACAGUGGCGAACGGGUGAGUAAUGAAUCGCUAACGUGCCCUGGACUUCGGGAUAGCUAUCCGAAAGGGUAGGUAAUACCGGGUGAUAUACCCUUUCCGCAUGGAAGGGGUCUCAAAGGUCCGCCGGUCUGGGAGCGGGCGAGUUUCGUAGUCAGCUAGUUGGUGAGGUAACGGCCCACCAAGGCGACGACGGGUA
rnacentral:rRNA from 1 species